rnacentral:rRNA from 1 species
GAUGAACGCUGGCGGCGUGCUUAACACAUGCAAGUCGAACGGAAAGGCCAGUGCUUGCACUGGUACUCGAGUGGCGAACGGGUGAGUAACACGUGGGUGAUCUGCCCUGCACUUCGGGAUAAGCCUGGGAAACUGGGUCUAAUACCGGAUAGGACAAUGGUUUGGAUGCCGUUGUGGAAAGUUUUUUCGGUGUGGGAUGAGCUCGCGGCCUAUCAGCUUGUUGGUGGGGUAAUGGCCUACCAAGGCGUCGACGGGUAGCCGGCCUGAGAGGGUGUACGGCCACAUUGGGGCUGGGAUACGGCCCAGACUCCUACGGGGGGCAGGAGUGGGGAAUAUUGCACAAAGGGCGCAAGCCUGAUGCAGCGACGCCGCGUGGGGGGUGACGGCCUUCGGGUUGUAAACUCCUUUCGCUAGGGACGGAGCGUAUUUGUGACGGUACCUGGAGAAGAAGCACCGGCUAACUACGUG